UCUUCAUUAAGCUGAAACAAAAAAGCACACAGAAUAGAGAUGCUAAAACCCAAGUUCAUCUUCAACAUCAAGGGGAAGUUCCAGGAAUGGUGAAUUUUGCCCCACUCACUUUCUCCGAAAAAGGGAGCACAAAGGA